GCAGGUGUAGUUUAGUGGUAGAAUAUCAGACUUCCAAUCUGCUGGCGAGGGUUCAACUCCCUUCACCUGCUCCA
rnacentral:tRNA from 1 species